GCUCAGGAUGAACGCUGGCGGCGUGCUUAACACAUGCAAGUCGAACGGGAAAUAUUUCAUUGAGACUUCGGUGGAUUUGAUCUAUUUCUAGUGGCGGACGGGUGAGUAACGCGUGGGUAACCUGCCUUAUACAGGGGGAUAACAGUCAGAAAUGGCUGCUAAUACCGCAUAAGCGCACAGAGCUGCAUGGCUCGGUGUGAAAAACUCCGGUGGUAUAAGAUGGACCCGCGUUGGAUUAGCUUGUUGGUGGGGUAACGGCCCACCAAGGCGACGAUCCAUAGCCGGCCUGAGAGGGUGAACGGCCACAUUGGGACUGAGACACGGCCCAGACUCCUACGGGAGGCAGCAGUA
rnacentral:rRNA from 1 species